rnacentral:rRNA from 1 species
GGAGAGGAAGCGGCCACCCAACCCCCAACCCCAGCCUAGCCCCAGCCCGUUUCCCUCCCCACCCAUGCCGCCGCCGCCGGAGCCACCCACCGCCCCGCCUCCCUCACACAGACCUCGCCGCCGGCCAUGGCCUUCCCCAACAGCCGCCGCUCCGACCCUCUCCCCCUCCCCUCCCCUUAUCACAAGACAAGAGAAGAGAAGAGGGAGGGAAAUCGAUCGCGACUGAGCAGGUCAGGCGGCGACAAUGGCGCGCCCAGACCCGCCAGCGCCGUCGUCGUCGAGCUGGGCUGGGCGGCGCAGUCCGGUAGAGUAGGAAUGAGGGGGCGGUGGGACGCCUCCCCUGCUCGAGCUGCUCCAAGCGAGCGACCACAGCGCCGGAUCCACCUCCAGAACCACCCACCGGCGGCCACGGAAGGUCAGGGACCUUCGUCCGGUCCGUGUGCUUCUUCUCCAUGGAGCUGCGACACCGCAGCAGCCGCAUCCAUGGAAGUGCCGACGCCAUGGACCUCGUCAAUAGUGGUUUGCUGCUGCCGCCGACCGUUUCCCUGACAAGUUGACACCAAAGCCACCAUUGUCAAAGUCGCCGUUGGCCGGCGUUGCCACUGGUCGCUGCUCCACGCAUCUUGUCGGUGCUGCGAGGCGAUGCCAUCUGCAUCUGUUGCUGCAGCCUGGGAGGUGGCAGGGUCUCAAGGUGAUGCCCUCUUUGCUGCCCAAUCAUUGAAGAUGCCAUAGGACGAGAUCCUCUGCUGCUGCUGUGUCUGGUGGUUGAAGAAGGGGUGUGUUGGGAAGAGAAGGCAGUGUUGAGAGUGCUAGAUCUGGAACAGGACGAGCUUGGGCUGCAUCGGCUCUGGUUCUCAACCUCCAACAUGAGUCCCUUUCUUCCGUGCCUCGAACGCCACGCGUCAUCAUGGGCACUGCAGAUGCGGAGGAGUUUUACCCGGGCGAUCUGAUUGUUCCCGGCCGCGCUGGUGUCAACUACCUCGAGCCACUAUGACCAUCCCAACCACGCUCACCCCCCUGCAAGUCAUGUGUUUCUCCUACCAGAUCAAAACAAUUGUCAAUUUUUGGAGUACAGUUGUGUAUCAGAUCCGUUCAUGAUUGAAAUCGUGGUCCCCUAAACAUGUGAUUUGUGAAAUAUUUAGGAACGAAUUGUUUGUGGAUCUGCAAAGGGGGAUUCAAUUAAUUUUCAGUUGUAGAAAAGGGAGAAGGGGGAUUCAAUUAAUUUUCCUCCUCAAGAUCAAAGAAACAAAAUCUUUGUGGCGAUGAUAGAAGGGGUUCACGACUUCACGUUAAUACACAGACUAUUGGUAAGGGCAUUAAAACAUAUAUCUGGUGUGAAAUGGUCGUACAUGCUUGAUUAGAAUAUUUUCAAGUGUUGUAGGUGUACGGCUGUGGGGAAACAUUUUCAUGGUCUAAUUUUCUAAUUAAUGUAUGCACGAGACAUGAAUCUUGGAUUCUAAACUUUUUCCUCGAUGUUUGGGCUUCCUCUAACUUUUCGUAUAUUGCACACAACACAACACAUAGAUUCAUGUCUUCCAUGCUUGCUGUCUUGUAACAAACAGAUGUUGGGAUGGAUACUAAUUUUCUAAAUGAUUUGAACUCAUGUUGUUUUCUAUUCUACUGUCAUUGGUUCAUCAUUCUGAACCAUUCAAUUGUUGGAACUCCGGCAUAUAUUGGUCCUGAAGUUAUGCUGAAGAAAGAAUAUGACACAAGCUACGAUCCAUCCUAUUUUGUGCUUUAAACGGUCUGCUGCAUACUCUGCCAUCUGCUGCAUAACUUAAUUCUGUUUGCUCGGCCAUAAAAGCCUUACUUGAUUUCUGAAUCUUCCAUUCACCUUUCGUUGUCAUGAGUGGUGAAUGGUCUUGAGGAGUAACCAUUUAGAUACUGUAUGUUUUUUUGCUCAAAC